GACGAACGCUGGCGGAGGGAGGAACAAAGGCAAGUCGAACGGAAAGGCCCUGCUUUUGUGGGGUGCUCGAGUGGCGAACGGGUGAGUAACACGUGAGUAACCUGCCCUUGACUUUGGGAUAACUUCAGGAAACUGGGGCUAAUACCGGAUAGGAGCUCCUGCUGCAUGGUGGGGGUUGGACAGUUUCGGCGGUUGGGGAUGGACUCGCGGCUUAUCAGCUUGUUGGUGGGGUAGUGGCUUACCAAGGCUUUGACGGGGAGCCGGCCUGAGAGGGUGACCGGCCACAUUGGGACUGAGAUACGGCCCAGACUCCUACGGGAGGCAGCAGUGGGGAAUAUUGCACAAUGGGCGGAAGCCUGAUGCAGCAACGCCGCGUGCGGGAUCCCUUCCUUCGGGUUGUAAACCGCUUUCGCCUGUGACGAAGCGUGAGUGACGGUAAUGGGUAACGAAGCACCCGCUCCCUACGUC
rnacentral:rRNA from 1 species